rnacentral:rRNA from 1 species
CGCGUAGGCGGGAUGGCAAGUCGGUCGUGAAAUCCUUCGGCUCAACCGAAGAACGUCGGCCGAUACUGCCGUUCUUGAGGGAUGCAGAGGAGAUUGGAAUUCCCGGUGUAGCGGUGAAAUGUGUAGAGAUCGGGAGGAACACCGGUGGCGAAGGCGGGUCUCUGGGCAUUUCCUGACGCUGAGGCGCGAAAGCGUGGGAGCAAACG